UACUUCGUGGUCGAGUGGUAAGGACACCCUGGAAUCCCGGGUUCGAUUCCCGGUCGAGGAGCUAG